GCCCAUUUUCCUCUCCUACGGCGUCUCACCACGUGACGAAAGGCUGGGCGGGACGGGCGCUCUCCCACUACCCUCACCUGUGGCCAAUCACCAAUCGGGCACGAGUUAUGGCCUGCUGUCUCCCAGGCCUCCUUGUCGGAUCAUUAUCUCUUGACGACGCGACACGACGCGACUCGACUCGCCAGCAUGCCUACGCAGCCUUUGCUCAGCAUCCUCCAGGGCCGCCCAGUCACGGCCCUCUCCUCACGAGCCUCACGGGAAAUAAGUAUUUUCUUUUUGACCUCACAACUUUGUCUCCGGUUCUGCUUUUGGAUCCAGUUCUCAUCAGCCCUAACAGAAUGAUCCGAUAGGGAAAUAUGGAUCCAGCGAACCCAGACGCCCUCCAGGACGCCCUCAGCUCACAAGAAAUCCUGAUUGGUAAACAUGAUCAGCUAUUGAAUGGAAUUAUGGAAACCUUACACUCCCUUUCUGCUGCACUGGCUCAGUUGGCUCCCAGCUCCAGUACAUCUCCACCAUGGGAGUCCAGGCCUCACCAGCUGUGCAGCAGUUGGACAGAGGGCGUGGCCAGCAGCCGCGGCGGCAGCACGCUGAUUUCCUUCACGAUGUUGGCCAGACGCACAGGGAGCUCCUGCCGCAGGAACACGAACGACGUGCGCUCACAGGCGUUGGUGGAACCUGGAGGUCGGAACAGAAGGGUAGUCUUAACUCACACGUACUUGGUGGUCGCAUGAGCGAAUUGAGCGAAUUGAGAUGGCUGAGAUGAAUUGAGGUGACUUGUUAAAAUGCUUUUCGCUCGGUAUAUUUCAUAUCUGGCUCGGUCAUGAAGGCAUUGAGAUGUGGUCGAAAGCUCUACAAAGUGCACCGAUGUCAAGAGUAAACUAAUUAUUUACGGAACUGAUCAUGAGGAAGACAUAGUGAAUUAAAACAAAACCAUGGUACUGUACAACAUCAAUGAAAGGUGCUUGACCUCCCCAGGACGAAUGGACCACGAGCAGCAGCAAAGGAACCACGGAGGCACAACAACACUCACCGAAAUCCAAAAACUGCUUCAUGGACAGAGGAGAGGGGGAGAACUUGGAGAAGUGGUC